AGGAGCGCGGGAACGGCGGGCGUGUCUGGCGGUGAGGGUGGCGCUUGCCUCUCCCUCCCUCCCGGUGAGGGUGAUUUGGCGUUCAUUCCCUCCUCACAGUGUCAUUCGGAGCCAGGUUGGCACUGAGGCUUCUGCACGAGGAGGAUUAUUCAAGUUGGUCUGGCAGUGCUGUUCUUUGAAAAUCUGGCCUUCUGAAUGUUCUCAACUUGAUUUUGCGUAAUAACCUCUAAUACCUCCCUAGUUUUUCCAUGAACCAGUGUUUGAAAAGCGUGAACACUAAUAAAGAAACCCUUACCUUUUAAUGAAGAGCAGUGGGUCUUGGUGGGCCAGAGCUGCGACUGGGCAAGUCCACUAUCAAAGUGGGGGGACACCCCUCUCUACUCUACCUUUGUCACUGCCCAAGUAUCUCUUUGCAUCUACUGAGUCUUCUGGAGGUUGGAGGGUAUGCUGGCUGGAGAGAGGAUGGGCGCCAGCAGCAGCUUGGCUGGAAGGGAUGACAGGGCCACUGUAAUCCAAUUCAUCAUUAGGUAAGAAAAGUCUGGCUUAAAAAACCGGGACUGAAAGUAGGAAAGGAGCAUUGGGCUGGAGUAUAGAGUAGAGACUGGAACCUACUCCAAAAUGGGAAAUAAUACUAAGUGCCAUCUUUAGGCCCAGGGAGUUGCUUUGUCCCCCUACCAGCACCUAAGUGUUACAUGGAAGAGAGAAGUUUCUCCUUCUAACAUCACAGGGACUACAAAGCUUUACAACAUUAAGUAAAUUUGGAGCAACUGAGCCAGGUUAAGAAAGUAGCUGUAGGCAUAGGCUAGGCAAAUGCUAAUAAGAGCAUAGAUGGGGCAAAACAAGUGGUGGAAAUUGAACUGAUGUUAACACUGAGGGGCCCCUCCUUUCCCUCCCACUUCCAUGGUUCCAAACACAUGGAGACACUGAGUAAAAAUAUAACAAAUCUUAUAGUGAAAUGCAAUCAAAAAGAAAAAUAUUAGAUGUUAAAAAUAAAGAAGAAACAUGAAAACGAGAUACGAAGCACAUGUGUUAAUGCCCUGAUGACUGAUCAGUGGAGUACUGCUCCCAAAUACAAUCCUAAUGGCCAGAAAUGUAGCCUUGGCCCUGUCAAAGCCACUGAGCUGGAACUGAGGUUCUUGCACGUAUUUCAAAGAUGGUGUGCCGUAGGUUUCCCUCUCUGUGAAAUUGUAUAUGGAAGUGGCAAGAGAUCUUAUCAUUAGUCUGGGACUCUGGGUAAUAAAAAACAAUUGGGGGACAAAAUUAAAAUAAGGUGGUAAAAAAAUACUAGGCAAUAAUGUCAAGGAAGUUGAGUGAGCUUACUAGAGAGCUUGAGAGAGAGGCAGUAAGUGUGCAGUUAAAAACAUAUACCCUGAAGACAGACUUCUGUGUUCAGAUCCUUGUUCUACCAUUUACUAACUGUGUGAUCUUGAAUAAGUUACUCCCCUUAAUUUUCUCAUUGGUAAAAUUAGAUAAUAAUAGUGCCUAUCAAGUACCUGUUUCAUCAAUAUUAACUUGUUAAUAUCAUUAAAAUGUUUAGUAUGUACCCUGAUCUAAAGAAUCCUUUUGGAAAAAAAUAGGAUUUGAAGACUACUUUCUUAAUCUCAUUAUGGUUAUUUAGCAUUCUCUUUAAAGUCAGGAACAGAAUAGGAAUGCCAACUAUUACUGAACUAAUUCGAUGUGCUUUAUUGUCAUAGCUAGCUAAGAAAAAAGAAAAAGCACUGAGGAUUACUUCUCUACCUGAAAAUUCCAAGUGGAUUUACAGACAGAUGGAAUACUUCUUAUUACAGAAAUAAUAAGAAUUCAUCAGGGUUGCCAUGUAUUUGAUCAGGAUAGAAUUAUUUGAAAUCUUAUUUGUCACUUUAAACAGUUCUUUUAAUGUAAUAAUAAAAAAUCACAGUUGAAAUAGUAGUAAAAACUUUUAUACCGAGGAAUAAAUCUAACAAAUGAUGUACAAGGCCAUUAUGUAAAAUAUUAUAAAAUAUUAAUGUAGGACAUAAAAGAAGACUUAAAUAAAUAGAAAUACCAUAGUUAGUGAAUAGCAAAACCCAGUAUCAUAAAUGUCAUCUCCUUACAAAAUAUUCAUGCAUUCUAAAUUCCAGUCAUACCUCAACAGGUGUUGUUUUGAUUUUGUGGAAUUUUAUGAGGUAAUUGUAACAUGCAUGUCAAAACAAUGGUAAAGAGCCAAGAACAGCUGAAAUAAUUGCGAAUAAGAAAGAAAGAGAGGAUGUGAUGUGCCACAUGGAAUGAAGGAAUUCAUGCCCCAAAUGCUAAAAGUGCUGCCAACAGGCACUUCUUAGUUGUUAGCUACCUUUGGAUGAUGCCCCAGUUGAAAAGAGCCAUCCAGCCCAAGGCCUUGGCCCAUGUCCAGGGUGGUUUACUGAUCAAUGCUAGGGGAUAAAAGGCCAGCCCUUAGUCCCACCUUAGGACAAAUGUGAAUGGCUACCCCAAUGAGAUUUGCUGAGUCCUUCAGAGGGACUGCAUCACAGCUCAACUUCUCCUGCCCAAUUCAGCUUCCUUCCUUCCCCUUCUACAGGUUUUAAUUCCAAGAGGAAUCAAUAAUAAACCUUCUGCAGGCUAAUAUUUAUCUCAGCAUUUUCCUUCCCCUUGAAAUCCAACCAGUGACUGGGGACUUUCUCUUUCAGAUAUCAAAACUUGUUUAUUAUAAGGCUAUAGUCCUUAAGAUAGCAUGGUACUGACUUCAGAAUAAAUGAAUAGAUACAUGAAACAGAAAAAGGAUGUAGCAACAGAACUUGGUGUAUGUGAAAAAUGACAUUAUAUUAAAUUGGAAAAAAAACACACUAUUUGGCAACAGGUUCUCUGGCAAUUGUCUAUUCACAUUGGGAAAAAAAUAGGUCUAUUGCCAAAAAAAAAUCCCCACAAGGAACAAAUACAUAAAUAUAAAAAGCAAAAAUAGUAAAUUAUUAAUAAAAUUUAGAACAGUGUCUUUGUGACAAGGCAGAAAAGAAGUUUUUAAAUAAGGUGCAAAGGCUGAAACCAUAAAAAAGAGACUGAUAAAUUUGAUUAUAUAUACCUUUAAAUUUUUUUAUUGUAUGUCCCAAACUUGGAGAUGUAUAAUCAAAAGAGUAGAACAUAUAUGUGUAUAUAUGUAAAUAAAUCACUUUGUUAUACAGCAGAAAUUAUCACAACAUAGUAAAUCAACUGUACUUCACUAAAAUUUUUUAAAAGUGGAAAAGACCUACCACAAAAAGAGUAGAACUCAGAAAAUGUAAAGAAUUUGCACAAUUAGUUGGAGAGACAGAAAACUGGCAAAAUGAAUGAACUGCAAAGUUGCAGAGGAUGAAACACAAAUGGCCAAAAACUCUAAGAAAAGAUGGUCAGACUCACUAAUAAUUAGUGAAAUAUAAUUCAGAGACACUAUUUCUCAUUUUCAAGAAACAGCAAAAAUAUGGAGUGCAAAUAUAACAAAUGUAGGGGAAGAUAUGAGAAGAUAGCAACAACUUCUUUGGAGAGGCAUUUGGUAAUAUCUUAGAAAUUUUAUUUCACACGUACACUUUUGAGAAACUCAUAGAAAUGUGCAUAGAGUGACAUAACGAAGAUGAUGAGUGCCAUCUUGUUUGUAAGAGCAGAUAUUUGGAAACAACCUACAUGUCAAUCAAUAAGGGAUGGAUGAAUAAUUAUAUAUACAUAUGAUAGAAUAGUAUACAGCAGUUAAAAAUAAAUUAAACACAUUUACCUAAAACAAAAGUCUUGAAAAUAUAGUAUGAAAUAAAAAUCUGUGUGCAGUAGGAUAUCAUUUAUUGAUCAAAUUUAAGCUUUUGAAAUAACAUUGUAUACAAUUUCUGAAAAAAAAACAUAUGAGUGGUAAAUAUUUCUAAAUGUGUUACAGAAGGGAAACAGAACAGCUUCAGAAAAGUCACUGUCUUUGGGGACAGGAGAAUGAGAUGGGAAAAAUCCUAAACUGUACUUCAUAUCAAGCUUGGAAUUAAUGGUCUAAAACCACUUGGACCUUUUUCAUCAACAUUAGAGCUGUGUUCUAAGACGGGGAAUGUGUGCCUUGACCUUCUGAUACUUUAGAAAAGAUCUCCAUCUUCCUGAGGUAGAGGUUAGUGCAGUCUUCUUUCUUUGGUUUCAGAAUUUUAACUGUAGUAUUUAUGAGCCUAGACAUCAGACAUCAGUCACAAAGUCUAGUCCAAAGUCACCUGGGGGCUUUCUUGUACAUCAGACUUGUUACAAGAUUUCAGAAUCCUAAGUGGUUUUUCUCCCCCCUGAGAAAAGAUAUAUGUAUUUUUUUUCUUUUUAAAUUUCAACCCCCCAAGUAUUCCAGGAAAAAAAUGGGGGACAUUGUGCUGUGUUUCCUUCAAUGGGCAUGUGCUGCCAAAGGUAAUGCACUUGCCCACACCCACGCCAUACCCAACCCAUGUCCCCUCUGCUCGGCCUGGGAUUGGAAGGUAAAUAGUAGACCUGGGAGCAGGGAGAGCUGGGAGGUGGGCCAGGGGAGCAGUUCUGUGGGGUAAGAAGUUGGACAGAGACUGAGGGAUGGUGGUGAGCUGCCCAAGUGUAAGUAUCUGUGCUCAGUGAUAGAACCACAGAGUUUGGCCAGGGCUGAAGGAACUGCACAGGUAUGGGUGAGGCAGAAUAGGUGGGGUGGCUCUUUCCAGUGAGCUGGGCAAGGGUAGGGCUGGGGGCUGGCCCUCCCUCUCUAACUGAUGAAAUGCCAAGGUCAUCCGUAGUCUGGCAUGCCAGCCUGGGAGGCCCAUCUGUUGCUGCUUGUCUGUAUGCCCGUGUAGGCUAAUUUAUUAAACAUUUGCUACACAAGUGAUACCAUAAUAAGGCUCUAUAAAAGUUAUCUUAUUUGAAUUAUAGUAAAUAAGCACUAAAUGAGUGUCUUUCAACUAGACUGAAUGUCAGGUAAAAUAUUACUAAAACUUUCUUCAGGAUUCUAGUUUUAGCCUGCCCUUUGCAUACAUGGUACAUAGUUGUGGUUUUUCUUUGUCAUUAGAUAUUUAUGUUUAACAUCUCUUCAUUAUUUUGAGAGUAAUAAUUACAGAAGUAAUUACUGAAGACUUUAUAACUGGAGGUGAUUCUGAGCAUUAAUUAUACAUUUGAAUUGUUCCUAUUGGGUGUUAGGAGAGCAUAGUGUUCUAAAAUUUUUGAGUCCCUAGCACCAUUGUUCCUGUUGGGAUUUUACUUAGUUCCUUAAUUGAGUCAUUUUCGUUUUAAUCAAAUUGUUGCUUGGAGCUAUGGUAAUACCAUAGAAAGUCCUAGUAUUCAUAUUUCUUUGCCUUUACAUGGCUAAUAGUCCAUUUUGAAAUCCAGUCCGUGGGUUAUGUUUCCCUUCACUGAUUUAUGUGAAAGUAAAACAUUAACAAGUACUAUAGCGUUACUUGUUUACUUGCCUUUUAAAGAGGAAUCCAAAGGUUAAUAAAAUGGAAAUGUUUUCUCAACAAAGCUUGGCUGUAAUAUUUAACUUCCAGUUUGUUUCUGGGAUCACAUCCACAAGGAAAGCUUUCCCUACUGUGUGGAAUUAUUUAAACAUGGCUGCUUUCAGUCCUGGCCUGUGCUGCAAAGGUUCUAAUCAUGGCUAUGUGUAGAAUAACUUUGGGAGAUUUUUGUCAGUAUAGAUGUUCAACCUCCACCACAGCUCUAGUGAAUAUGAGUCUCUAGGGUGAGGCCUGAGCAUCUGUAUUUUAAAAUCACCAACACCACUAACCACCAGCUUACUGAGUAAUUCUUGUGUCCAGCCAGAUUUAGGAACCAUUGUAUAAAGCAAUGAAGUUCUCUAGCUGAUCAAAAAGUGAAGGAAGCCAGGCCUUUACUUAGCCAAACAUUUUAGAAAGUCAGAAGUAUGCUCUGGGGAACAUAAGACUCUUCUUUUAAACUUAAUUCAAAGGUCAGUUCUAGGACCCAACCUGGGUUUACUGAAUCUGGAUUUUGGCGUCUCAGAAGUCUCUUUUCUAUGAGGGUCCCCAAGAGAUUUCCAUACAUGUCAAAGUUUUAUAACCUUUCCAUAUAUGAAUGAAUGACAGUCAACUGCCAAGAUGGAUACUCUGGUGAGUUCUCUGGUCGUAUUUAAUUCUAUCCCUGAUCUGCAGGAACCAUCAGAAUCAUCCUAAGGAAUUGCUCUCAUUUUUUUUCCAAAUAAUGAGUCCCCUUAAGUGAAAACUGUGAAUCCUCUUCCUAGAAACUUUCACGCAGGCACAUAUGCACAUUUGUAUUUUACAUUUCAGGAGGUUCACAGACAUGAGGCCAAUUCAUAUAAGCCAGAUUAAGAGCUCUUGCUCUGGAACAGAUAACUGAGUCAAUCAACUUCAGUUGAUUUUGUCUUGAUGGGCCACAGGACAUAGCAGCAGCAGGGUUAAGGAAGUACAGAGAAGUCUGGCUCAGAGAGCUAGAGUGGGCUGAGAACAGGGAAGAAGAAGCUUAUCCCUGAGUUAGGUCCCUGAUUAACAUGGUGUCUAAUCUGAAUGGAGGCCAUCUUUAUAACACCAUGGACCCAAGCAUGUGCAUAAAUUUUCUUCCUCUCUUUGGCCCAGUAGGAUUGUAAGAGGUAAUAGAAGUUUUUUCAAUGCAAUCAACAGUAUUUUAGCACCUACAGCAUGCUAGGUACUGCCAAGAGCUGGAAGUACAAAGAUAGAUCAGACACAUGUUCUGAUAUUAAGCAGCUCACAGAUAGUGACAUAUUUCAUAUUGCUAGGUCUUUAUAUCCAACUGGCCCUCUCAUAAAUCACACUAUCAUGGUCACGAAAUAUCCAGGCAAAGAUAUUAACUACAGUCUCAGAGAUUUUCCUGACUCCCAUCCAAUUUUGUCUUUCAGCCCCAUGCUUAGUACUUUGGUCCUCAGCUCCCCAGCUCCAUCCCAAGUUCUCCGUAUCUGUUUCUCCCCAUUUGGGCUUGAUGACCCAACUGAAUUUCUUUCUUGAGCAUAACAACAUCAUAUUUCUCUUGGACAUUUGGAUGUGAAUGCUCCCAUGGCUUUAGCGUCCCUGGAGCUCUGGCUUUCAACAUCAACUGUCCUGGAUCUCAGAGUCUUUAGUAGGCUGCAUUUCCCAACCUGGAGAGAAAGGCUCCUUCAUUUAUUCAUUCAACAGUAUUGAGUGUGACAGGUAAUAUUCUAGAUUCUGAAAUACAUUAGUGACAUAAACAGACAAACUCCCCAUGCUCCUAGUUUUUUUUGUUGUUGUUGCUGGUUUUUUUGUAGGAGGAAGCACAAUAAAUGUAUAAUCAUUAUAUACACAAACAUGUCACUAUUAUAUGUGGUAAACAUAGUCUAUUCCCAUUAUUCAAGGAUUCUAUGAGUGCAAAUCCUCUUGGUAAAAUUAUUUGUAAUUCCCAAAUCAGUACUCACAGUACUUCAUGGUCAUUUGCAAACAUGCCAAAGGAGUGAAAACUUGAAUCACCAGACAGGCGUGUUCCUAAAUGAGGUGAAACAAGGCAACACUCUCCCUUCUUAGUUCCAUUUUCAAACAGUCUCAAACUAACAAGUAUACUUUUCUUAGUGUACUUAGCACCAUUUUUCUCAUUUUUGUGUUCUUAGUAAUUUCACUGUUUAAAAUGGUCCCACAAGCAUAGCACUGAGGUGCUGUCUACUGUUUCCUAGUGCAAAAAGGCUGUGAUAACCCUUACAGAGAAAAUACGUGUGUUAGACAAGCUUUGUUCAGGCAUAAAUUGUAACUUUGAAGUUAAUGAAUCUACAGUAUAUAUUAAGUAAAGUGACCAUAAUGAAAGUGACAAUGAAGAAAAUAUUGUGACUGAGGCUCAUAGUAAGAACAGGGAUUUGGGGAGUUCCUGUCGUGGCUCAGUGGUUAAUGACUCCAAUUAGGAACCAUGAGGUUGCAGGUUCAAAACCUGGCCUUGCUCAGUGGGUUAAGGAUCCGGCGUUGCUGUGGUGUAGGUUGCAGACGUGGCUCGGAUCCCACGUUGCUGUGGCUCUGGCGUAGGCCGGUGACUACAGCUCCUAUUCGGCCCCUAGCCUGGGAACCUCCAUAUGCUUCAGGAGCAGCCCAAGAAA